UUCCUUCCGGUCAUCGAGACUGUACAGUCUCGAUGACCGGAAGGGAUUCCUUCCGGUCAUCGGGACCAUACAAUCUCUAUGGCCGGAAGGGAUUCCUUCCGGUCAUCGAGACUGUACAGUCUCAAUGACUGGAGGGAA
rnacentral:miRNA from 1 species